UACGUAGGGGGCAAGCGUUGUCCGGAAUCAUUGGGCGUAAAGCGCGCGUAGGCGGCCCGGUAAGUCCGCUCUGAAAGUCCAGGGCUUAACCCUGGAAAGCGGGUGGAUACUGCCGGGCUUGAAUCCGGAAGAGGCGAGUGGAAUUCCUGGUGUAGCGGUGAAAUGCGCAGAUAUCAGGAGGAACACCAAUGGCGAAGGCAGCACUCUGGGACGUGACUGACGCUGAGACGCGAAAGCGUGGGGAGCAAACAGG
rnacentral:rRNA from 1 species